GGGCCUGGGCCUGGGCCUGGGCCUGCUACUGCUGCCUGGGCCUGGGCCUGGGUCUGGGCCUGUGGCUGCUGCCUGGGCCUGGGCCUGCUGCUGCUGUCCAGGCCUGCUGCUGCUGCCUGACUGGAGCCCCAGAGCUCUCUCCUACACUAAGCUAAGCUGGGCUGUGUUUCAGGCUGAGCUUUGGAACUUAGAAAUGCAACUUUGGUGAGCACUCUCUGAGCCCCAGCACAGGUGUCUGUCUCCAUGGUGGACGUGGAACUUCCAGUACCCAACAUGGAGGUACCUCCUUCACCUCAGAUGAUCCAUUCAUAGAAUUGUCAUCAGAAAUCCAGGAAGAAAACUCCAAUGUGGUGUUAGAAAACAGCAUUCCUUUAUUCAUCACGAUACCAGGAGACCUUCUGAGCCUGGGGCACCCCAGCACCCAAUGCACUUCAUUACAGUGGUGAAGAUGGAGCUGCCAGUCAACCUCUUUGCAGCUCAGGAGCAGCAGAGAAAGUUUCCUAACCCUAAAGGCAUCAGAGCUCUGCAGAGGCUGAAAUUCUUCAUGUAAGGCAGAAAUGCGUUCAUAGGAGCGAUCCAUUCAACUUCAUCAGCCUUGGGAAACCUUUUACAAGGAAGGAGAGAUGAAAACUCUGGCCUGGGUAGCUGAGAAAAUGCAAUGAAAUUGGGUUUUCCUAUUGCAUCUCCUCCAGUGCAGCUGAGCUGGGGGCUCCAGAGAUCCCACCUGUACCCAGCAGCAAUGCAGGCACUUCCCAUGCACUCAGCAUUGGGUGGCUGCUUGGAAGGGUUUCAGAUCCAACAUCUGCACAGGACAACACUGGUCGCACUGUAGGCUUGGUCCACAAGAACCCGAGCAUGGGAAUUUCUCUGCUGGUCUGGAGCUGUUGUCCUGAGCUGUUAGCCCACCCUGCCGCAUUGCUCCUGCUGAAACUGAGCUCACCUGGAGUGCAGGAGGGCCGGGGAGGUUUGCGCUGCAGCAAAUACGUUGUGUCUGCUCAGUCCUGGUGGCAAUCAAUCACAUCAUGCCCCCUCUUUAUUUUCUUGGAAGUUCAGAGCAAGAAACAAAACAACAUUUACUUUAGUAGUUGCAACAGUUUCCUUUUGUUUUUGCUUCACUGACCGGAGCAGCUGGUUUUCAAAACUUUUUUUUCAGGAAAA